rnacentral:rRNA from 1 species
CGCCCAGACUCCUACGGGAGGCAGCAGUGAGGAAUAUUGGUCAAUGGCCGAGAGGCUGAACCAGCCAAGUCGCGUGAGGGAUGACGGCCCUACGGGUUGUAAACCUCUUUUGUCGGGGAGCAAAGAGAGUCACGUGUGGCUCAUUGAGAGUACCCGAAGAAAAAGCAUCGGCUAACUCCGUGCCAGCAGCCGCGGUAAUGCGGAGGAUGCGAGCGUUAUCCGGAUUUAUUGGGUUUAAAGGGUGCGUAGGCGGACAGUCAAGUCAGCGGUAAAAAUGCGGUGCUCAACCCCGUCGUGCCGUUGAAACUGAUGUUCUUGAGUGGGCGAGAAGUAUGCGGAGUGCGUGGUGUAGCGGUGAAAUGCAUAGAUAUCACGCAGAACUCCGAUUGCGAAGGCAGCAUACCGGCGCCCAACUGACGCUGAAGCACGAAAGCGUGGGUAUCGAACAGGAUUAGAUACCCCUGUA